GGGGUAAAAAGAAAGAAGUGAAGAAAGAGACUGGACUUGGUCUUUCCUACAAGAAGGAUGAAAAUUUUGGAGAGUGGUACUCUGAGGUACUUCUUACAUUUUUCUUUAGAAUUCCCUUUUUAAGGUAUUUAUAAACAUCACACACUAUUUAACUCUUAUUCUACAUAGGAAUCAUCUGGUUGGGGGUUGGGAAAUUACUUUAUGCAAGUUCUACAUGAUAAAUCUUCAACUUGUCAGCAAAUUCAUUAUUUUGAUUUAAACUUUCUUGCACGUUUCUCAUAAUAGCACUUCCAGAGUUACUUGCCAAUAUUCUCUUCUUACUGUUAGACAUUAAAUUGCUUUUAAAUUGAGACUCUGGUGGUGUCCAGAAUAAUUAAUUAAUCUAUACUUUUAUCAAAGGUCUACGAUUAUGUCCUGGUGUUGAAGUUAUGUGUUCAUAACUGUGCCCAAGUUAAGGCACCCUUUUCUUUGUCUUAUUGCAAUAGUUGAUUUAGGAUUUCUAUUCUUUUAUUUUCAUUACCGUAGGACUAGUUUCACAAAAGUAUGCUUUAAAUUUCAUUGUUCUUCUGGAAAAGCAAGAUUAUGUGCAGUUAGUGAAUUUGUAUGCUUAAAACAGUUUUAUGAUUUUUUUUCUUUUAAUACUUUUGGCUUUCUGUAUUUAUAGAACAAAUCUCAGCUCUCUUGUAGAGAAUCACAUUUUCUUGAGUAAAUAAAAUAAGAAUUUACUGGAAUAAAUUUUUAUUUUUACUUAAGUAUGUGUUAUUAUAUUGCAUAUAUUAUCAUGAGCAGUAUAAUAUGUGAUAUGGUGUUAUGAUAAGUAUAAUGAUUAAUAUUUAUCAUACUUAAUAAAUUGUGAGAAGCAAUUUAUGAUGAAAAAGAAAUCAAAUUAUUAAAAUAUUUGAUUUGAUUUAUUGAAUUGCUUAUACAAAAUUAUUUGCGGUAAACAAAAUAUGGGAACAAGACGUGAUAAAUAUAUUUAAUUAUAUUUGUUACGUGAAUGUGUGGGAAAGUUAAUUAAAAAUACAUUUGAUGUAUUUUUGUGAGUAUUAAAGUAAUUUAUGAUAAAUAAAUCACUUAUAAUUUAGCAACUCUGAAGAUUUAAGGAGUUGGGUUUACACUCGGGUAAGAGCUGGAUUGUGACUGAUUAGAUAUGGAAGAGUAGCUGUGAAGAGCUGAAAAUAAGAAGACUGAAAAAAAGAAGAAGAAAACUUAGCAGAUUGAACUAAGCAAUAGAAAGGUAAUGCAUCUUUGCUAGUAUUUACUCUAAAAUGUUAAACAUGAAGUAAAUAGUGGUUAUGGGAUUUGCUAUGGGUUUGAUUAAGAAUAUGUGCUACCGAUUAUAUGAUGCAGUGUAAAUACUUGAGGAUAGUAUGCUUAGCAGUGGGGUUUUUCUAUUUAGUAUAGUUAUGUGUUUAUCAAUGGAAUUGAAUUAAAAAGGAAGUAAACUAGUUAGUUUACUAAUUACUUUAUUGUGUUUAAAUUUGAUUAUGUGUUUGACUGUUAUGUGGCUGGAAUUUUGAAUAGAGGAGAUAGGUUGACUGUGAGGAGCAAUAAGGUGGGAAAUAUGAGGCUAGAAUGCAAAUCAAUGGCCAUGAAAAGAGAAUUUUAAAACUAUGCACUCCAAGUGCUUGACAAAAGUCCUUAAUGGACUGUUUUUGUCUAAAACCAAAAAUUUGUUAGAAGUAAAGUUCGGGCUUGAAUUAUACAACAUAUAUGAUGCUAAUUAGGGUAUUUGAAGGUACUAAAUUAGAGCGAAAAGCAGUUUAAGCCAAAAUGAAAGUAAGAAAAACUUAGUGCGAUAGGCCAUGUAUGAACACUGUUUUGAGCUGCAUAUCAAAUCUGAAAUGGAAAGGUUAUGACCUCUAAAACGCAUUCUCAUAUGGUAUGUAUAACAUACUUAAGGUUUGUUUUAAUUUGGUAGAUGAGUUUAAAGUUAUAAGGCCACAAAUUAGGCAUGUUGGAGCAGGGCUGCUGCCUAUGGCAGCAGCAGUGGUGAUGCUUGGCAAGGGCUGGGGCCUCCCUUGGGCGCUCAAUCAAAACACUUGAAAUAUAAAGGGUGGAUAUAUCACCUAUUUAGUAGCUAAAGUUCAACAUGAAUAAAUCAAAGCCGCGAGAAAUGAAAAGCUAACAUAUUAAAAAAUAAAUAAAAAUGGACUGCUGCCCAUUAACAGCAGCAGUCAGCCACAAGGAGCAUCAUUUUCAAGCAAGGUGAGGGUGCAGCUGCUGCCUAAUGGCAGCAGCAGUUAGCAAGAAGUGGGAGCUGUUGUGUGCAACAGAUGCUAGCCAUGUCGGUUUAUUGGCAUAGUUUAAAAGCUUACCCUUUAGCCCAGUCUUUGACUUCUAAGUGACCAAGUGCAUAGUAUUUAUAUAACAAAUCCUUGGUUCAGCUAGAUGAUUAAAAUAAAAAGUAGAAUUGGCAGGGGUGCUGCCUUUGGGCAGCAGCAGUUGGCAUGAAAAUGACUGCUAAAGUAGUUUUGGGAAACUAUUAUGGUUAGACAAUAAUAAAACUAAUCAUCAAGAAUGAUUAUAAUUCAUUUUGUAAUAAAGUAAUUAGAAUCCAUAACAAAUCUACUAUCUAGCAUGUUUGGAGUAAUCAAUUGGAAGUUAUAAAAACUAAACAAAGCUAUAAUAGAGAGUUGUUUUGAAUAAAUCAAAUCAAUAGCGUAAAUUGCAACUCAAGGUAAGCGAACUAGUAAUUUGUAUGCUGAAAUAAAUGAAAUGAUGGUCUAGAGCCAAGGGGGCUGUUAGGCUAUAUAUGGGGCCACGGGGCUUUGUAUGGCCAUUCCAAGCUUGGCUAAGCCCCCACAUGGCUAAACAAAACUUGAUUGUCACACAAUGGGGAAGGAGAAAACAAGAGUAUUUAACACUUUUGUAUACUAGAACAAAGUUACAAAGCGUUAUGAGAGCUACAAAUUUCUCAACCAAGUUGUGAAUACACCCAAAACAUGUAAUUCACUAAAAAAUGAAUUAUAAUAGCGGUUGACAUAAUUAAACCUUUAAUUUGGAACUACUAAACCAAGUUUAAGCUGUUAGUAUCACAAAGAGUUACUAUUACUACAAAAGAGCUAUCUUGCCAUAACUUAGAAAAGAAAUAUGAACUAAAAUCUUAUAAUCAUGAACUGGAAUUAUGUCACAUCUAUGUUUCAAAACUCAGCUAAAUUAUCAUGCUUGAACAUUCUGUGUUUGCAUCAUCGACACCUAUGGCUGGCUAACUUUCAUUCAUAAGUCUUUAGAAACGGGACUGCUUGGAGUUUUUUUUUACUUUUAAGUCUUCAUGUCAUAAACACAAGUCAUUAACCUAACCACCAAUUCAAAGGUGAAGUUUGAGAUUGAAUAAAAAUAAUGUAAUUCUCUUACUUCACUUGAGGGAUUUUUCUUCUCCUUUUUCUCACAAGUUAUUUUACAAUAGAUUUUCUUGUAUAUACUCAGUUUUGAACAACAUAGAUAAAUAUAGAACUUACAAAAGUUUUGUGCCAACAGCUAUACUAUUUUUGGACUGUCAGACUAGUAGAUUUUCAUUUUUAAAUUUAUUGCAAAAUAUUUUUGAGCAAGCUCUGAGUAGCACUUGAAUUAAAUGCAGUGAUAAUUAAUGUUGAACUUUUCAUAUCUAUUUUGCUAGUCUUUCUGAAAGACUUGCCAUUGUGCUUGCCCUUGUGGUGGCUCCAUGAUUUGCAAGCUUUGCCUGAGUAUGUCCGCCUCCCUCUCCAUCCUCCAUUUCUUUCUUUAUAUACAUUUCUUUUUUAGUUAUUUGACUGAUUUAUGUCUAUAUAUUUUUUGAUUUGCAGAUAAAGUUCUUUUGAAAGGUCAAUAACGACAAGGUUGAAGGUUUUAAUUAAGCAUUUUUUUAGGAUAUGAAUUUCAGAAUUUUAGCUUUUUGGAUUAUAUAAUUUGGUUUUGUGGUACUUAGAUUAUUUAAGCAACUGUUUAUUGUCUAGUUAAUUGGGUAUUUUGUUGAAUCAGUAAAUCUACUAUUUUUUUAUAAGAUAAUUAUUUUUUA
rnacentral:lncRNA from 1 species